rnacentral:rRNA from 1 species
GGGACAAGCCCUGGAAACGGGGUCUAAUACCGGAUGAUACUUCCACUCGCAUGGGUGGGGGUUGAAAGCUCCGGCGGUGAAGGAUGAGCCCGCGGCCUAUCAGCUUGUUGGUGAGGUAGUGGCUCACCAAGGCGACGACGGGUAGCCGGCCUGAGAGGGCGACCGGCCACACUGGGACUGAGACACGGCCCAGACUCCUACGGGAGGCAGCAGUGGGGAAUAUUGCACAAUGGGCGAAAGCCUGAUGCAGCGACGCCGCGUGAGGGAUGACGGCCUUCGGGUUGUAAACCUCUUUCAGCAGGGAAGAAGCGAAAGUGACGGUACCUGCAGAAGAAGCGCCGGCUAACUACGUGCCAGCAGCCGCGGUAAUACGUAGGGCGCAAGCGUUGUCCGGAAUUAUUGGGCGUAAAGAGCUCGUAGGCGGUCUGUCGCGUCGGAUGUGAAAGCCCGGGGCUUAACCCCGGGUCUGCAUUCGAUACGGGCAGACUAGAGUGUGGUAGGGGAGAUCGGAAUUCCUGGUGUAGCGGUGAAAUGCGCAGAUAUCAGGAGGAACACCGGUGGCGAAGGCGGAUCUCUGGGCCAUUACUGACGCUGAGGAGCGAAAGCGUGGGGAGCGAACAGGAUUAGAUACCCUGGUAGUCCACGCCGUAAACGGUGGGAACUAGGUGUUGGCGACAUUCCACGUCGUCGGUGCCGCAGCUAACGCAUUAAGUUCCCCGCCU